GCACCUGUGAGGGUGCUUGUGUCUAUCCAUGUGUAGGAAGGCACUGAGUGCCCUUUACUAUCUGUCAUUCUGCCUAUUUCUCUGAGAAAAAUGUGCCUGAGACUCAAUGUUCUCUUGACUUGGCCGGAGGCCAGCAAACCCGAGGGUCCACACUUGGAGCAGAGACUACAGACAUGGGGGAGAUAUCUAGCUGUUAUGUGUGUGCUGGGAUCUGAACUUUGGUCCUCGUGAUCAUGCAAUAAGUGCUCUUAAAUGCUGACCAACACCUCCUGCCCGCUAGUUCUUUAACAGUUUUCAUCUGCGAGUUUCUCUUCCUCCCUUCUGUACAAGACAGCUGCAGUCGCUGACAGAAUGAGAGUCUUAAUCUGAGGAGAUGGGGUUCGGCCCUGCACUUUAGAGACACUAAAAUAUGGAUGUUCAGAACUCAGAGUUCACGGAUGAUUCAGAUGCCCAGGAAUUUUUGCCAAAACUCGCUCUAGGAUUUGUGGGUCACUACAGUGGCCUGUUCUUAACCAGUUCUGCACUUUCUAUCAGAGCACGGUUACAUUGCUCAAUGUUCACUUUCAGGAUGUCAUCCCAAAAAAGUGUUGUGUAAAAGCGCACUCUUUGUGUGGUUACAAAACUUAAGACCAGAACGCUCUUGGAGAAACGAUCAACAAACUCAAGUGAAAACUGCUGGAAUAAAUUCACUUCUGUGGGGAAUGAGACCUUUCCAAACAGGCACAUCACAUACACCGUGUACAAUGACCCUCCUACUUCUCCUUUAGCUCACUGUGCCUUAAUGCUACAAGCAAUACGUAUGUUUAAGAAGUCUUUCUGGGGCUGGAGAGAUGGCUCAGUGGUUAAGAGCACUGACUGUUCUUCCAGAGGUCCUGAGUUCAAAUCCCAGCAACCACAUGGUGGCUCACAACCAUCUGUAACAGAAUCUGAUGCCCUCUUCUGGUGUGUUUGAAGACAGCUACUGUGUACUUAUAUGUAGUAAAUAAAUAAAUCUAAAAAAAAAAGUCUUUCUGCCCAGUGAGGACCACAGCCUGAGAUGGCCAGGUUCCUUUAAGGACCGGCUCCUAGUCAUCAGCUCACAGGAAGCCCUGGAGAAGGGUUUUGGUGGCUUACAGUGGUGCGUUGUGUGCCGUGCUGGUGGAGAAAUUGAACAGCGAACAUUCCCUUACGAAGAGCAUUUCCUACAGAGGAAGGCAUGGUGGCACUUCCAUGGAAGCUGGAAGGAAGUCACCACAACAUGAAGAACUGUAUUAAAGGUCGCAGCAUCCGGAAGGUUGAGAACCACCGUUCUGGAGGGAGAGAAAGAGGUAAGAUAGUACUGCUUUUACAUUUGUCAAAAGUUACCACCGUUUAGAAGGGUUAAAAAAGAAAGAAAAAGACAGAAAUAAAGAAAGGACAAAAGAGAAAGAAAGGAAGGAAAAAAAAGAAAGGAAGGGAGGGAGGAAGAUCAAAUUGCUUUUGUUGAAUCUAAUCAGAGGACGUGAGGUUGGUUGUCUCUUUUUUCUUAACCAUUAUUUCUUUUCUUUUAAAUAACUUUUGAGGGUCACUCAAGAGCUGUUUCUCUAGUAUCUGAGAGCCCAGUACAGUGUGAACAGGAUUCUCUGAGAUGCCGUAACGCGGAGAAAGAAUGGCUUCUGAGUCAAGUGUUAGGAAAUCUGUAUGCCGCGUUGUUCUAAGACAUUUGCAGCGUGUGUUAGAUCAUGCGAACUCUGCAGUAAAUCCUGUUUGCUCCACUUCAGUCUGUAUGCUAGAUGUUUGGGCCCUGGGACUGUUUUUCCCAUAAUGCCUCACAGACUUUGAGAAAUGCUCUUGAACCGGUUGUACCUUGCUCUGAGAGUGAGCAUCCUGUAUCCUUCUGUAUUUCUCUUGCUCUGUGUAAUCUUUGUGUUACGCUAGGUGGGACACACAAUUCUGAGUAGAAUUUGUGACCUGAUGCUUAGAGUCACGAGCACCUUGCUAGAUGUCAAGUAAGCCAUGGGGUGGGGGCGGGGCCGGAGCCGGGCAGAGUGACUUUUUUCUUCCCAGGCACAAUGAGGUGGAGAAAAUUCUUCCAGCUCUGUUUCCCCAGGCUAAGCACAAAGAUGGUUUCUCUUUAUGGGAGAAAAGCCUUAUUGUUUCUUUUGAAAUGGAAAUUGUUGGAGUGCCGGAAAGGCUCUGGGUUACGUCUUCGCAUCAUUUAUCCUGAUCAACCUGAGCUGAUUAGAGAGCAUGCAACCCACACGCAGGGUCCGUGACCCCUGGAUGACCCUCCGGCAGCAUGUUCCACUCUCACAGAAGGUACACAUACCCCUGACUAUACCAGAGUCUUUUUCUUAGUUAUCUGAUCUUGGCAAACUCUGAAACUGCCCCAUCUCUACUCUCGCUCCCUCUGUUUACAGCAGAGACUUGAAUCUCCUGAGGUCGACCUUCCGUUCCUUUCUCGCUGCUGCUGUAGGAGGAAGGUAGAGUUAGGAGCGUGGCUUUCACACACAAGGAGGUCUGCAGCAGCUGUCUGUGUAGGCCACUCUGUCGGGUGUGUAUCAUAGCGAGUCUUUGCCCAUGGUUUCCACAGAAGUACAUUCACACUUCAGCCUCGAUUUAAAACCAGCAGUGCAGUCCACUCUGGAACAGUUCCUGUGCGUUUGCAUUUCUGCACAUUUAAAACCAGGCUUUCUACAGUCGAACCAGAAGCCUCUUGAAGGCAGAAGCCAUGCUUUCUUUAGCUCUGUGUAUUAAUAAUACAGUGUAACUCAUCCACGAAGAUUCAUCAGACACACAAAUUACUGUGAACACCUUUUGUUGGCCAGAUCUCUGUGAUGUGUGAUACAUUAUAUAGAGAGAGCUCUGAGAGUGCAAAGCUAGGAAAGUAGGCAGCCAGACAUCUGCAAGUAGGACGGAUCAGUUCAGAAGAGAUCAUGAGCCUGAAAUGCCUGGCCAGCUUUUCUAGAAGGUCCUGGGUGUGUUUGUAAAGUUUGGAAGUGGUCAGGGCGUGGAUGGUGGGAAAGAUGUUCUGUGCUGUGGGGAAAAGUCACUCGGAAAAGACUUUAGCCAGCAGUCAGAAAGUUUUGGCUGGAAUAGCAAGAUUAACAGUGAUGCAACAUUGUUCUGAACUUGUUUUGUUCUCACUUGACAAUUGAUCAAGCAAUGGCAUAUUAUGGGACGUCUCCCCUCUAGUCAGGGUCAAGUCAAAUGCCCAGUACCAUGUUUGGCUAUCGGGUCUCUUUAACUGCCUUUAACCCAGAACACGUCCACAACCUUUGGGUGAAAAAGAUCUUUGCUUGUUUGUUUUUUUAAGAUUUUUAUUAUUUGUGUGUGUGUGUGUGUGUGUGUGUGUGUGUGUGUGUGUGUGUGUGUGGUGUGUUUGGGAAUUUUGGAUGCAUAUAUAUCUGUGCAGUAAGUGCAUACAAGCACCCAGUAAGGACAGAGGAAGGUGUCAGAUCCUCUGGAACUGGAGGUAAAAACAAUUGUGAACCAUCAUGUGGGAUCUGGGGAGGGAAGCCCGAUCCUCUGCAAGAGAGGUAAGUGCUCUUACCUGCUGAGUCAAGCUUAUAGACCCUUGGUAAAGAAGUCGUAAACCAGGAGACUUAGCUUUGCUGGGAGGCAGAGGCAGGAGGAUUACUGUGAGUUUGAUUCCAGCCUUAGAUUGGCUUACAUAGCGAGUUCUAGGUAAGCCAGGACUACAUAGUUGACUCAAAAGAAAAUAAAAAAGCAAGCAGACAAACGUCUUAGCCCUAAAUGAGGCAUCCACGUCUUCCCUCCAAUGCCCAUGGGGCAGCAUGGGUGACCUGGUGGAAAGACUGUAAGAGCUGGAAGUAGGAAGGGGUUAGAAGAGUGGGAGGUCAGGGCAGAGGUAGGAUGGGUGAGCGUGGUCAGAAUGAAUCACAGACACAUAAAACUGUAAAUGUAUAAAGAACAAUAAAAACGAAAUGGGAAGGCUGAACAGCCCACCUGCACCACCCAAAGAAACAUUCCUCCUUUAAGUAGCUCUUUAAAAAAAGAUUGUUAUCUUUAUUUUAUGCUUAUGAAUAUUUUCCCUUCAUGUUCCUGUGCAUGCCUGGUACCCACACACAGGCCAGAAGAGGCAACUGGAGUUACAGAUGGCUGAGAGCUGCCACAUAGACACUGGGAACCAAACCUGGGUCAUCUCUGGCAGCAGCCAUUGCUCUCGUGUCUUUGAAACCGCAGUUUUAGGCUCCGAGCUAAAGGAAAGUGCAGAUGUCCUGCAUUGGUCUUGCUACAUGAAACAUGACAUCCUCCUGCUCCUGUUUCACAGGAUAGGAUCACACCCAAGGUAACAAGUGACAACAGCACACACGGAUCAGAGUGGGGAAAGGCGGCUUUCUCAUCUCCUGAGCUCUGUGCUUGGAUCCAUUACACUUCUCACCUCUAGAUCAUCAUAUGAUAUUUCAUAGAUUAAUGCGAGCUAUAGUGACCAAACUCCCGAGAUCAACUGACCCUUGGCUGGAAUAGAUGACAGUGGGCUUCCAGACAUCUUGUUCCUCUUUAAUGAAAGAAAUUCAUUACACGAAUCUCUUAAUGUUAACUUUUUUUUUUUUUCGGAGCUGGGGACCGAACCCAGGGCCUUGCGCUUGCUAGGCAAGUGCUCUACCACUGAGCUAAAUCCCCAACCCCUAAUGUUAACUUCUGAAUGUCUUACAUAGUUGGAAAGAUGUCUAAAAUUAAUAGUAAAACAAUAGAGUUGGACGAAGGCAUCUUAACAUCGGGCAAGAAAAAGGGAUGUCAAAAAGCCAUAUAAUUUUUAAUUGAUAAUCUCAGUGCUAGCGGUGGGUUAACUCCUUAUGAAUUGUGGGUCAGAGGUGUACCAGAUGCCCCCCAAACAAUGAAACCUAUUACUGAUACAGUUGGACACUAGAACUAGAUGGUAGGACCUUAUUGCUGCAGGAGAAGCUCCUUCCUUCCUGGCUGAUAUUCAUAGCACAAGAGAUGCUAUCUAUUCUGGCUGCUGGAGGAGAAUUGCUGCCAGCAGUUCUACUUGGCUGCGGACCUGUAUACCACGCUAUCAACAUAAGACCAUUGCUGCUAGUACUCCUGCUGCCUGCCUUACUUAUGGAGAAAAGCUUACAGUGGAUGGUGCCUGGUGCUGGAAUAACUCAGAAACAAAGUGACUGCUGAAGUAACACGGUUACCCAAUGCUCAAAGAAGGCUCACGGAUAGCUCGCUCUUGUCAAGGCUCAGGGAACAUUGUGGAAGAAGGUGCAGACAGAAUGUAAGAGCUGGAGGUAUGCGGCGGUGUAUUAUAUGAAAACAUUUUUUUCCUCUGGAUGUGACAGGAGUGCUGGAAUUACAGUCCCACCCAGUGUUUAUGUGGGUGCUCGAGAUCUGAACAGUGGUUGUAAAGCGAGUUCUUUUUAAUAUAAACAUAACAGUGAAUUAAUAUGGCAGCCGUAUGUCUUUAUUCUAGCUAGUUUCCAACAACCACAUGGAAAAACCAAGAUUUAUUUUAAGGCUUCAUCUCAUUAUCUGGGCAGUUUAAUGAUUUAUAUUAACCCCUAAACUAGACUAACUGAAUUUCCAUGAUACUGGCAUUUUAUUACUGGUCUGGUUCUUCAGACUUCAGGUUUGUUUCCAUGGACAGUCUCUGGACACUUUCCUUGUGACUCCAACUCCAAAACUCCUCCAAAACUACCACGUCCACUACCACCUCCUCCUUCUCUCCUCCUCCUCCUCCUCCUCUUCCUCCUCUCCUCCUCUUCCUCCUCUUUCUCCUCUCCUCCUCAUCUUCCUCCUCUCCUCCUCUUCCUCCUCUUCCUCCUCUCCUCCUCUUCCUCCUCUUCCUCCUCUUCCUCCUCUCCCUCCUCUCCUCCUCUUCCUCUUCCUCUUCCUCCUCUCCUCUUCUUCCUCCUCUCCCUCCUCUCCUGCUCCUCCUCCUCUUCCUCCUCCUCCCCUCCUCCUCCUCCUCCUCCUCUCCCUCAAUGGCAGAAGUCCCACCUUAUUCUCUCUUUUGUUCAGCCAUUGGGUGAUCAGCAUUUAUUGACAAGGCAUAGAAUAAAUAGUAAGCAUUAUUUACACAAACUUGAGACUGGUCAUUUUUUUUUUCUGGAGCUGGGGACUGAACCCAGGGCCUUGCGUUUGCUAGGCAAGCGCUCUACCACUGAGCUAAAUCCCCAACCCGAGACUGGUCAUUUUUUAAAAAGAUUUAUUUAUUUAAUGUGUAUGAGUACACUGUAGCUGUCUUCAGACACACCAGAAAAGGGCAUCAGAUCCCAUUACAGAUGGUUGUGAGCCACCAUGUGGUUGCUAGAAAUUGAACUCAGGACCUCUGGAAGAGCAGUCAACACUCUUAACCGUUGAGCCAUCUCUCCAGCCUGAGACUGGCCCUUCUUUGAUAUAAGCAUUGCAAUGCCGUGUUGGGGUUGAAACAAGAUAUGAGGGCAGAGAAAUCAGGCUUUGAAUAAUGACACAAGGGUAACUUUUACACUGCACACAAAAACAUUAUGCCUGCAAGUGGUACAAUGUUUUACAUUUGUAUGGGAAAUGUUUACAUUUGUAUAGAAAAGGCUUCAAUCCACCCCCACCCCCCAGUCAUUUGUUACUAGAGUUUUAAAGCCAAAGAUCUACCUUUUGGAUUCCUAACACAAUAGUUUUGCCACCUGUCCCCAAAGAGCCAAUUAAAGUGGUGCUUGGUGAUGAAAAAGAAAGAUUUGAGCAGUGUGACGCAUGGAGUAGAGGACUGGAUGAAGGGUCCCAUGAUCUCAAGUCUGUCUUCAGAGCAUGAAUGAAUGUGGUCUGAACAGAGGAAGAGUCAGAGCAGGGGACAAGAAGUAUAAAUAAUCAAACAUUUCUUGUCCUUCAAGGUGGCCCAAAGAAGUUCCUUAGACCCUUAUCCUUUAAAGGGGGCAGUCUGGUUCCCAAAAGAUGGUUAUCCUGCUUCAGGCUGCAGCCUCCCCAUUGCAGCCUCAGUCCUUGCUCAGAGUGGAGAGAAUGGUUUCAGCCUGGAAGAGGAAAGAGAGAAGUUUGUUAUUUCUGCAUUAGAGACAGGUGCUGGGACGUGCCUGUGUGCAGAGGAGAGUGACCCAAGUGAAAGAAGAAGUCGGAGGUGAAGGCAGGGACACCAGGCUCUCAGUUCCGCCCUGAGUUACGGUGCACGCCCAGGCAAGAGUGCUUCCUAGGAACCCAUUUCUCAUUGCACAGCAUGUGCUCCUGUGUUCUCUGUGCAAAUGAGUCAGCAGGAUCACCACUUCCAGAGACCUCCCUUUCCUCUGCAGAGACAGCAUGCACCACAUCUGGCCUUGAUAUCUGAAGAUGCGUAUUUCUUAUAGUUCCUACUGGAUGCUUUAAUGCCUAAUAUUGACAUGUGAAAAUAAACUCCCAAUCCUUUCUGUUUAGAUGACCUGAGUUAAAUAUCAAAUAGAUUACUCUCUAGCAUGAGCUCUGAUAGGUUAUUUAACCGUUCUGAGUUUGCUCAUCUCAGUGUUGUUGAGAGUGGUCAGUGAAACAGGGGUCUAACUCUGUUCUGUUAGAUUCCUCCUCUUCUUCCGAUGCCCGGAACCGGUCAGGCAGGUUCUGGAGUUGGCUUCUUUGGCAGUUUUGGCUUUCUGCUGCUGUUCAUUCCCAGUUCAUAUUUCACGGGAUUAUAAUUCCUCCCGGGUUUCUUACUAUGAUUGCAUCUUGUAUAAUCUCCCUGCUCUCGGGCUAAUCCACACUUAAUCCAUUUCCUGCCUUACUGAGUGAUCUGACCCUGUAAUUAAAAGGCUUUAAUCCUCAGGGUUAAAUUCAAGCUGCUUCUUGAUCUGGUCUCCUUGCUUCUCUCUUCCCUGACUUCUCCAGUGAUCUACUCCUGUCGGAUGGUCCUCUGGGCUCCCAGGGCUGGCCAGCUGGGUCUGUUCUCAUGGGUGGGCAUUUGCCUGGAGAGCUCUUCCUCUCCAUUUUAUUUAUUCAACACCCGCUCUUCUUUUAGGUCUCCACUCAGCUGUGACUCGCUCUGAGUUCCAAUAUGGAGACACAUUCCUCAUGUUAGAUCUCAUUUUGAUCUCUUGCUUCCUGGUUUGCUCCUCACAGGAAUGAAGGAACUCUCUCACUCUUGAAUACCCAACGACUAACCAACCCAGCACUCAAGGCCAAGGAAGGUUCUCAUUACCACCCAAUACUAGUUUUAAACUUGGAUACUAUUGUCGGUCCCCAAGGGGAAGACAUUUGUCCCUGUGAAGUUUUGUCUUUUCCUUUUUUUCUUUAUUCUUUUUUUUUUUUGUUUGUUUGUUUUGUUUUGUUUUUUCGGAGCUGAGGACCGAACCCAGGGCCUUGCGCUUGCUAGGCAAGUGCUCGACCACUGAGCCAAAUCCCCAACCCUUGAAGUCUUGUCUUUUACCUUAGUGUAAUCUAGUGCUUCUGUCCGGCAGGGACUCUUUAGACCUUGUCUGACACUUAUGUUAUUUAUUAUAUUGACUGGAUGAACUCUUUUGCUCCCUCAGAAGCCAUCCACUGCUAUUAGCCCCUCACGUAAGGUGGGGCCUUGGAGGUCCAUCCCCUACUCAUGACGGGACGUUGACUGGCUUGAUUUUUGUGAAGGCAAUCCUAUCUGUUGUGAGCUGUCCUGUCUGGAAUUCAGCUCUCAUUUUCACCCACCCGCUUUUCCAUUUGGCUCUUUCUUCCAACAUGUUUGUUCUUUGAGUCUGGGAUAACCUACCCCGCCCGUAGCUGAGUUAUUUAUACUGGGUGCUUUGACCAGUAAUGAGUAUCAGCAUUAACUACCAUUCUCUCACCAAGGUUAUGGGCACCCAUUGUUCACCAAGGAGCAGGAACAAGUAGCCUCAGAUAUAUCCGUAGCAUCUGCAUUCCUAGUCCUGGGGAAGUUAUAGUGGGGCACGGUCCCUGGAGAGACAACACUGAUGACUGUUUCAAAACCUGGAUGAGUGACCCCAGAGGUGUUGGGUGUUUUAACCAGUGGCUUGGAAUGAGUGACCCCAGAGGCAUUUCUAAGCCUGGGGCAGGCUGUGUUUGGUCCACCAGGGACAUCUGAGCUGGAGAAAGACCUCACUGGGUGUGACAUCUGCACAGAGGCCACAGAGAUGCUUUCUCCCAUUCCAAACUCCCCACCCUCCAUCUCUUCCCUGAGGAUUCUUUUCAAUUACUGUGGACAACCAACCACACAUGAGGGUUGUAAUUAAUUUGAUGCUGAUAAUCUAAAAGAAAAUAAGUGACAGGGUGUGGUGGCAUAUAUCUCUGAUCCCAGCACUCGGGAGGCAGAAGUGGGUGGAACUCUGUGAGUUCGAGGCCAGCCAGGGCUACAUAGUGAGACCUUGACUUUAAAAAAAAAAAGUAUUUGACUUCAACACUAGCCAAUAAAAGAUGGAUGAUGGAGGCUCCGUCAAGGGAUAGAAGGACCUGUCCUUGGUUGUAUUCCUAAAGAGAAACAGAGGCUUUUCAAGGAAGCCAAGAGACAUGAAAAUGAACUGUUUGCUCACAAUCCCUCUGACAAUCUGUCCAGAGUAUAGACUCACCAGUUCAGGAGCCAUUGCUUGGGGUUUUACAGUAGCUCAACAGGGAACCACAGAUAUGGUGACAGUUGACUUUCUUGUAUCCGUGAGAUGUGUGUUAAGAAACCUUCAACUGUGCUAAAACCCAUUAAGGAAAGAUAAAAAUCCUGCCUCUUAUCAACAAGAUAGGUGAGGCCUUCAGGACAUUUUCUAAGAUGAAUCUCUUUCCCUGAGGACAAGCUCUUCUGAUGCAACAGACUCCAUAGACUCAGCUUUUGAUACUGACUUAACUGGUGCUCAACAACUCGGUCUGGAGGAAGAUUACCCUGAGCAGAGGGAGGUAGAUAAAGAGGUCUGACCGUGGAACCAUGACCCCUUACAGGACUGAGGGCACAUGAGGAGUAGGCUGGUUACUAUAACUCCUGACCUCUAACUCUCUGCCAAGGAAGCUUGGAAUCCUUUGAAACGGAGGGUAAUAGAACCAAUCUGCUUGUAUCACUGAAGCCUUGCCUCCAUUUUUAGAAAUCUUUCCUCUUGAUCCAGAAGUACAAUGGGAGGUGAUAGGUCUCUCCUGAAGCCAUCUGUAGAUUUGAGAAGCUGUUUGUUUGUUUGCUUUUGCUUGCUACCCUGGCCUGGAACUUCCGUUGACCAAGACUGGCCUUGAACUCUUUUGCCUCCUGAGUUCUAGGAUUAAAGGUUCAAGCCCAGCGAGAAAUGGGUUUUUAGUUAGGUGUUCAUUGAUGUCCCUUUCUAUUGUUGGGAAGAGACUUAUUAAGCUGCACAUUAAUGUUAAAAAGAUGCCACUUCUGACUGUUUUCCUUUAUGUAUGUUUCCAGUACUUCCCUUUGAGCUUCUCAAACACAGGACCCAAGGCCUGGCCAUCUAGUUCCCUUUGUAGUUAGCCUUGGAACCAGUGCUGGUGCUGUGCUAGAACAGGAGAAACUGCUACCUCCUCCUCAGAGGUCUUCUCUGCCAGUCCCAUCAACAGAGAGCUCAGAUUCCUCAGCCAAGGCUGUACAAUGACAGUUUCUUUGGUAGCAAUUGCUUUUCAACACACAAGGGCAUUAGUAGAUACGUAGUCCAAACGGGAAUCUGCUUCUUGUUCAAAGGGAGAUGCUGGUUCUGGAUCAACAUAUCAGGACAAGUUCAAAAUGGUUUAAAAAUAAUAUUUAGCCAAUAGUCUCGUGUUCAGAAGCUAGCUAUUUGAUACCAGCUCUCUUGGGAUACAUCAUCAUGGCUUUCCUGAGCUUUGCCCUGUCUGGGGCCACUGGUUGGUGAAAUGAUGUUACUUUUGCUUGGAUCUUGGUGUUUUGUUUUGUUUUUUUGGCUUUUGUUUUUUGUUUUUGUUUUUGUUUUUUGUUUUUUUGCCUCCUGGUAGGAUUUUUAUCUUAGAGACUACAGCAGUUUUAAACUGAACUUUGAUGCCAGUAUCCCAGACAGUUCUGAAUGCAGGGGAUCCAGACCUUCCUCAACAAGCUAUAGACAGAACAGGGGGAGACUUUUCCUGUCCUUUGAAUGAAAGCAGUCACAGCCUGAUUAUUGUCCUUCAGUUUCCUGGAAUGAUUCCUACCACCACAGAUCUCAGGAAGCAGUUGAGGCAGGUGAGUAGGGAGGAGGCUGAAGCCCAGAAGUCCUUCAUCCAAAGCCUUACACAGAAGUGUGUAGAAAAAAACAACUUGGUAAAGAGCAAGACUGGGAACUCCCCAUUCUGGCUAAAACUGGUGCUCAUUCCGGUGCAGAUUCUUAGGAACUGUGGAGUGUAUCUGAGGGUAGCUCACAGUUCAUGAUAGUACACACCCUCCUGGGUGGAGCUUAGUGUUCUCACAAGGCAGGAGAUGCAUGAAGUUAUAUUUAGAACUACGUGUAACAGUGAAGGCACGGAAAGCCUACAUUAUGCAAAUGAACCACAAAGGGUAGGAAGCCCAGCUUAGAGUAAGCACUGGAGAAUCAGGUUUGUCAAUUACACCGGCCUGUUUUCUUCAAAAGAAGGAAAUGAAUAAGCGCUGGUCACCUGCAAUGCCAGGGCGGAAGUGAUCAAAUGACCUGGUGAUCCUUCGAUAUUUAUUUAGGGGGGGCCAGUGUCCAUCUGGAUCCCCCAACAUCUUAAGCAUUGUUAGGCCCUAAUGUUGGGCUUCAGCCUUCACUGAAUAGAACCUAUCCCUGUGAAAGAUGCCCCGUGUUCUUUGCAUCCUCCACCAACAGAAUCUAUCCCUGUGCUUAUCACUGAUCCUUCCUCUCUAGGCCCCAGCCCUGAGCUCUGUGUGUCAGCCAGUAGCAUUCGUUCUUACUGCAAAAGUCGCAGGUGCUUUGCUACUUUGCUGGGGAGUUUCUAGGUAGCUAUGCCCAACGCUUUGUUUUGAUAACUGUCACAUGGGAAACCUUUCCCCAAAGUUUUACCACACUUAUAUGCGUAAGAAGAAUAAGCCACAAAGUCAGACUCUGGAAGUUUUGACCCGGUACCGUCAAGUAUGAUACUGACUCCAGUUUCCUUCC